AUGUUUCUAAUGGGAUGCAGGACAAGAAUGAGUGCUGAAGGUCAAAACCAGUGGGCUUUAAUGGAUAUCUUUGAGUUUUUCUUCCAAAACCAUAUCCCUUUGUCCCCUGCUUUAUAUCUGAAGAGGAUGACCUAUAGAGAUUACAUCCGCAGCCAGAGCAGAGGUUGUCACCUUCUCCUGGGCCCACUAAAUGCCAGCAGUCCCCCCACACCGUCACUGUGACAACCAAAAACCCUCAUGCCAAUAUCCAGAUUGCCUGACCCCAUGAGUCCAGACUGUGGGAGUUACCUUCAGAAGAACCAGAACAAGAAAUAUUUAGAAGAGGUUGCCUCUGGGAAGGAGGCCACUGGCUAGGAGGGACGGCUGGGAGACUCUUGCUUUUUAUCAUAAGCACUUGUGUUCUAUUUAAUUUUUACCAUGUUUAUGCAUUAUAUACACAUAUAAAUUUUAUUAAAAAUCAAAAAAGUGUUGCUGCCUUUCCUAUGGACAGGAAGUUAUUGACUUCAGCCCAAAUUACCAUUGCCACAAUCAGGCUACCACUACAGUUAGGAAGCUGUUGCUUCUGCCACCAGAGUUAGAGCCAUACUGCCUCCUACCAUCUGUAUCUGUACCUGUGAAAUGGAUAUGCAGUAUGUUGCCUUUCAACAUGCAUGAAGGUAGUGACUGGACAAUGAGACCUUUUCUAACACAACCAACGAAAAUACAAAUGUCUUCGCAAUCUUAGUUGAUCACAUAAACAAAAACAACAGCAAAGGAAAGGAGGAGACUGGCAUCCUCCUCACUUGUGCCUUUCAAAUUUUAGAAAAGUCCAUCUUCUUUCCAAAACUAAAUCACGUUCAGGUCUUGGCAAUGAUUUAUUGGAUUGGAAUUAUACCAUCAUCUCUACUGCAUCUCCUGCUUGCCAAUUGCAGAUCUUGGACCUCUCAGCUCCAAGUGUGAGCCAGUUUCUGAUAGUAAAUACACACACACACACACACACACACACACACACACACACUUCUUAUACUAUAGGAAUAUAUAUAUUACACAUAUAACAUAUGCAAUAUAUAAUAUAUGUAAGUAUGUGUGUUCUGUUUCUCUGGAGUACUAUUGGUCUGUUUCUCUGGAGAACCCUAACACAGAAUUUGAAAUUGAGAGUGGUUCCACAGAUACAGAAUUUUAAGGAUGAAUUUUCUGAACGGUUUUAUAUUUACAGAGAUCAUUUGGAAUACAGAGAAUACCUAUAAUCCUAUACCCAGUUUUCCUUAUUGUUAUCAUUUUACCAUUAAGAUGGUACAUUUGUUGCAAUUAAUUAACCAAUAAUGAUGCAUUAGUAUGAACUAAAGCAAUACUUUAUUUAGAUCUCCUUAGUUUUUAGCUAUUGUCCUUUUUUGGGGAGGAUCCCAUUUUAAUUACCAAAUCACACUUAUCACACUUCUUAGUCUUUUAUUGGCUAUGACAAUUUCACAAACUUUCCCUUGUUUUCCUUUCUUUUUUUAAUAAUAGGCAUAUUUUGCUUUUUAUUAUGUGACAUAUAUAAAAAUAAAAUUAACGUGUAAUUUCUAUUUACUUAUUUAAACGUUAUUGGGGUAUAAUUUAUAUACAAAAAUGUGCACAUAUUUAAUGUAUACACCCAUAAUGCCAUCACCACUAUUAAGCUAUGUGCUUACUAUGGUAUGUGCACAUAAACCUAUAAUCUCCAAAAUUUCCUUGUGCUCUUUUGUGUGUUUGUGCUUCUGGUAAAAACAUUUAAUGAGCUUUAUCCUCUUAACAUAGUUUAAAGUGCACAAUACCAAAUUGUUAACUAUAAGUAUUACGGUGUAUAGCAGAUUUCCAGAAACUAUUCACUUUACAUAACUGAAACUUUAUACUCAUUUAACCGCGAUUGUCUGAUGUUUUUAUUAGACUAGUAGUCGUUAACUUUUAAUCAUUAUUUUUAGUUAAUUUUUAAACAUUAAGGAAAUGGAAAGAUGUAAUUUCUGAAAUGUUUCAAUAUUAAUAUUUUAAAUGAAACUGUUAAAUGCUCUUUUAAUUGUAUCUAAUCUAAUCUAAAUACUCUAGCAAAUUGAUAGUCAUGACCAUUUAUUUUAAAAAUACAAGAAAUUUGUUUAAUUGUAAGAAAUUGAAUGUCAUGUACUCAUCGAGCUCUACAUUUUAUUCUACUUUCCCCAUGAAAUUUUAUGUUAAGAAAACAUAUUUUUAUCCUUAAAAUUAUUUUAUUGAUCCCCUAUCAAACUUGUUUUUAACAAAGCUAUGCUUAUAAAUUUAAACUAAAAUUUUUUAUUAUAUUAAAACGUGUGGCGUCAUAUUAUCAUUGAAUUAUGAGUAUGCAAUUUGAUUAAAAUCAUAUGAUAAUUAUUAAACAAAUAAUUUAAUUAAGCACUUACUGAGAUGAAUGACACAUUUUUCAAUUAGUUCAUGCAACACUAGAUGAAUAUUACUCAUUGCUUUAGUGAGAUAGGGAAUUCAGCAUCAAUUCACAUAAAUAGGUAGAUGGGAAUAGAAUGGAUUUUGUUACACUGAUUUUCCUUAAUUCUUUGAACACUUUCUGAGUUAUAUGACAAACAUCUCAAUGUGAUCUAGCAUCAAAAAGCACAUUUGAUGAUUUAUUAACUGAAUAUUCUAUUAGGUCUACCUUCAAUUUUGCUGAGAGCAAAGAAUUGAAAAUCAAUUCACUUGCAAAGACUUGCUACACAGUUGUUGGAAUCAUUCAUUUUCUCAGUUUCUGGGAACUGUACCAGAAGUGCUUCACCAAUACUUUUCAGAUGGCUAUUAAUUAUAUCCGUUAUUUUUGAAUAGAGGCAUAUAGUUUAACUUAAUACACUCAAGAAACAACUAGGACAUGAGAUAGUAGUAACUUCUACAUACCUUUGCCAACAGAAUAAUUUGACAAAAUACUGUGUCUCCAUAGUCUAUAUGCAUUAAAUAUAUUUUUAUCAAAACUCAGAAAUUUAUAUUCAGUUCAUCCAAUUAAUAGAUUUCCAGUCUAUAUCCAAAUUAGCAAAGCCAUUACUUUUUAGUAAACCAAUCAACUAAAUCAAGCAUAAUCAUUGUUAGAAAAAGUCUAGCUUUAUUUUUUAAUUCAAGUAAAUGGAUGAACAUGGGUUUCAUUUUCACUAUUAUUAAAAGCACUGGAAACCAAAUUAUGGAAUGCGUCUUGUAAGAUAGAUUCCCCAAAACAGCUGAGUCUAAUUUAAGAUGAUGUAGGAUCUAAAAUAAUAAAAAAUAUUUUAGUUUUUAUGAAUCACAAAACAAAAAUAUAUCACCUUUUAAAAUUUAUUCUGUAUAAUAAUGUAAUAACCAAUAUCCAAUAUCUUAUGUGGUGGAGAGCUAAAAUAAGUAGCUGCAAAGUGAGGAGUAUAAUAAAUCAGCCAUAAUAUUCCUUUCCUAAAUGAGUCUGUAGACGUUCAUUGAAUUCUGGUAUCUGAUUUUGGGAACUAUUAAACAAGUAUAUUAUAUAAAUAUUGAAAAUAAAAUCAAUUUUUGAUAAAAUAACAUUUUCUAUGUAUUUUAUGAAAGAAAAAUGUUUUUAUUGAUGAAUUGACAUGGCAGAUACCAUAUGAUUGCAUACUAUAUAAUAGGAAAUAGAAAAUAUUAACUACUUUAUAAAAUGAACCAGUAUAUAAUUACAAUAAAUAUUUAAAGUUCUGAUUUGAUAAACUAUACUUUAAUGACUUUAAUAAUGCAUACUGAAUCUAAAGAAAAUCACAUAAAAUCUUCAUCUUAGAUAUAGUUUCCAC
ensembl:lncRNA